rnacentral:snRNA from 1 species
AGCUUUGCGCAGUGGCAGUAUCAUAGCCAAUGAGGUUUAUCCGAGGCGCGAUUAUUGCUAAUUGAAAAGCAAGAAUGUGUAUGUUGCAGAAACUCUAGGGAGCCUCUGCGCUAAUCACUUCCAUUUACAGAUGGAGAAAUUAAGGUCCAAAAAGAG